rnacentral:rRNA from 1 species
GAUGAACGCUGGCGGCGUGCCUAAUACAUGCAAGUCGAGCGAACAGACGAGGAGCUUGCUCCUCUGACGUUAGCGGCGGACGGGUGAGUAACACGUGGAUAACCUACCUAUAAGACUGGGAUAACUUCGGGAAACCGGAGCUAAUACCGGAUAAUAUAUUGAACCGCAUGGUUCAUUGGUGAAAAACGGUUUUGCUGUCACUUAUAGAUGGAUCCGCGCCGCAUUAGCUAGUUGGUAAGGUAACGGCUUACCAAGGCAACGAUGCGUAGCCGACCUGAGAGGGUGAUCGGCCACACUGGAACUGAGACACGGUCCAGACUCCUACGGGAGGCAGCAGUAGGGAAUCUUCCGCAAUGGGCGAAAGCUUGACGGAGCAAAGCCGCGUGAGUGAUGAAGGUCUUCGGAUCGUAAAACUCUGUUAUUAGGGAAGAACAAAUGUGUAAGUAACUAUGCACGUCUUGACGGUACCUAAUCAGAAAGCCACGGCUAACUACGUG